UGUCCUGAUCUCUCAGUCCACAAACAGUGAUUUUCUUCCCUAAGAAUCGGACGUGGGUUCUGCCCAUUGUGUCUACCUGGCUGUGCAGCCUGGCAGGAAGCAGGUGGCCCAAGGUGGGACCUGGCUGCCGUGGGUCCCCAUCCCAGUGCCACCCUGUCCCCUGGACGAGAAGCCUGGCAGUGGCCCCCAAGGUACCGGGAAGGAGGUAGAGCGGUGGUCUGGUUCCCCAAGGGCACCUGGGCAGUGCCAUCUUCCACCUGGUGUGACACGAUGGAGUGGCCUGGGCCCUCAGGAGUCUCGGGGCCCGGGUGACAGCACAGGGCCCCCGGGGACGCUGGGAGCGCGGGCUUCCUCUUCCUCACGGGUUGUUUGCACUGGCUCCGGAAACGCCGGCUGAAAGCUGGGACUUUGCGUCAUUUUUUACUAUUUGAACGGCCUCUUUGGGCUGCUUUUAGGAAGGUGGUUCUUUUGUCCCUUUUCUCACUCAGGAUGUUGUUGCCGGUAGAUUUCCUCACAGACGCUGUCUGCUGCCUUUGUUUUCCUUUCCAGAUGCAUAUGGAGAAAUCUUCCAGAACUGAGACCCCCGUCAGCAAAUUGCACCUGUGGUGCAAGUUUGCACGUUUUUCUGUAACAGACCUGAGAGUAGAGGCAGGUGAUGUGAUCCGAGGUGCAAGCUCAGUCCUGCCUCCAAACCAGAAGAGUUGAUUAGGACGCAGACGCACACGGAGGGAAGACCACCUGAGGACACAGGAAGAAGACAGCAUCUCCAAGCCAAGCAGGGAGGCCUCCAAAGAAACCAUUCCUGCCGACACCCUGACGUUGGACUUCCAGCCUCCGAACGGUGAGAAAAUAAAUUCUGUUGUUUAAGCCUCCAGCCCUUGGUCCUCUGUGAUGGCUGCCCACGUGAACUGACCACAGGUCCUUAACUGGAAUAUCAGUGUCACCGUUGUUCAUGGUCUGAAUCUCCACCCUGAGGUCCUUACCAUCUAAGCACGCUGCUGAGAGAGCUCGUCUGAGCAGGACACGGCCCCGGCCCCCUUCCCACUCCUGGAGCCCCUCAUCUUCCCAGGGGCCCUGCUCUCCUGCUUCCCAGGACUGUCUCUCCCAGGUGAUGGCUCUCGACGCCCCUGGAGGGAACUUGCUCCUUCCCCCUUCGGGAGCCUCACUCCGCCGUUUCCCGCUCAAGAUGUCCCGCUCGAGGGCACAUCUGCCCUUCAAUGAGGUGGAUUUAAAACUCUCCAAAUACCAACAGGAGACUGUGUUCGAGCCUGCUCCACUGGGAUCACCAACACGAUGGUCUCUUAGGUUCCCUGACCAGAGAUUGAACUCGGGCCCCGGCA